AGGCGAUUAGCUCAGCGGUAGAGCGUCUGCCUUACAAGCAGAAUGCCACUGGUUCAAACCCAGUAUCGCCUA
rnacentral:tRNA from 1 species